UACUGAGGGGGCUAGCGUUGUUCGGAAUUACUGGGCGUAAAGCGCGCGUAGGCGGACCUGCAAGUCGGGGGUGAAAGCCCGAGGCUCAACCUCGGAACUGCCUUCGAUACUGCGGGUCUCGAGUCCGGGAGAGGUGAGUGGAAUUCCUAGUGUAGAGGUGAAAUUCGUAGAUAUUAGGAAGAACACCAGUGGCGAAGGCGGCUCACUGGCCCGGUACUGACGCUGAGGCGCGAAAGCGUGGGGAGCAAACAGG
rnacentral:rRNA from 1 species